CUGAAUAAUUGUUAGGUGAGGCUCCUAUAUGGACACAGGCUGCUGCCGCGAAAGAAUCGAGAGACUCUUAGUUGGUUGAACAGGAAUGAUCGUGAAGGUCAUUCAUAACGUAGCUGAUAAGAAAUUAUCUACGCCCUAUAGUGCUAAAGCUCAACGAUAGAGAAACUUU
rfam:Enterococcus termitis strain LMG 8895 1, whole genome shotgun sequence.